rnacentral:rRNA from 1 species
CCCGGCCGUAAACGAUGGACGCUAGGUGUGGGGGGACGAUCCCUCCGUGCCGAAGCCAACGCAUUAAGCGUCCCGCCUGGGGAGUACGGCCGCAAGGCUAAAACUCAAAGGAAUUGACGGGGGCCCGCACAAGCAGCGGAGCAUGUGGCUUAAUUCGAAGCAACGCGAAGAACCUUACCGGGGCUUGACAUGCGCCUGAAGCCGGGGAGACCCGGUGGCCGAGAGGAGGGCGCACAGGUGGUGCAUGGCUGU